rnacentral:misc_RNA from 1 species
GUGAAUCAUCGAAUUUUUGAACGCAAAUUGCACUCUCUUCGGAGAGGAUGCCUGUUUGUGGGUCAGUAUUAAUAAAAAUCGGAGUGUUGCUUCUGUGUUACGCUCCGGAGUUUGGGUCAUCUUAAUAUCCUUUAGGUCUUAAGUGGCAUAAAAUUGACUUUUUUUGCGCAUUUUAGAUGUACAUAGAUUCUUUUUUGAUUCGUCUGUCUUAAUGCUC